UACAGAGGGUGCAAGCGUUAUUCGGAAUUAUUGGGCGUAAAGGGCGCGUAGGCGGCGUAACAAGUCACUUGUGAAAUCUCCGGGCUUAACUCGGAGCGGUCAAGUGAUACUGUUGUGCUAGAGUGCGGAAGGGGCUACUGGAAUUCUCGGUGUAGCGGUGAAAUGCGUAGAUAUCUGGAGGAACACCGGUGGCGAAGGCGGCAUCCUGGACCGGCAUUGACGCUGAGGCGCGAAAGCUAGGGGAGCAAACGGG
rnacentral:rRNA from 1 species